rnacentral:rRNA from 1 species
GUCUUCUUGAAUAUAUAAGAAGUCUGACCUGCCCGGUGAAUAAGUAUUUAACGGCCGCGGUAUUUUGACCGUGCAAAGGUAGCAUAAUCAUUAGUCUUUUAAUAGAGGGCUGGAAUGAAGGGUUUGACGAAAUGCUUACUGUCUCAUUUAAUUUGGAAUUUGAAUUUAACUUUUUAGUUAAAAGGCUAAAUUGUUGUUGGAAGACGAGAAGACCCUAUAGAGCUUUAUAGUUUAAAAUUUAAAAAAUUUUUGGUGAAUUACUAUUUUUUAAAUGGAUAAUUAUUUUGUUGGGGUGACAAAAAUAUAUGAUAAACUUUUUUAUUUUAAUAACAUUGAUUUAUGAUUAUUAGAUCCAUUACUAUUGAUUGAUAGAGAAAGUUACCUUAGGGAUAACAGCGUAAUCUUCCUUCAGAGUUCAAAUUUACAGGAAGGCUUGCGACCUCGAUGUUGGAUUAAGAUAAUAAUUAGGUGUAGCCGCUUAAUUAAUAGGUCUGUUCGACCUUUAAAUUCUU